rnacentral:piRNA from 1 species
UCCUGAGAGUCACCUAAAGGUGAACUAUACC